AUUGAACGCUGGCGGCAUGCCUUACACAUGCAAGUCGAACGGCAGCACGGGUGCUUGCACCUGGAGGCGAGUGGCGAACGGGUGAGUAAUACAUCGGAACAUGUCCUGUAGUGGGGGAUAGCCCGGCGAAAGCCGGAUUAAUACCGCAUACGAUCUACGGAUGAAAGCGGGGGACCUUCGGGCCUCGCGCUAUAGGGUUGGCCGAUGGCUGAUUAGCUAGUUGGUGGGGUAAAGGCCUACCAAGGCGACGAUCAGUAGCUGGUCUGAGAGGACGACCAGCCACACUGGGACUGAGACACGGCCCAGACUCCUACGGGAGGCAGCAGUGGGGAAUUUUGGACAAUGGGCGAAAGCCUGAUCCAGCAAUGCCGCGUGUGUGAAGAAGGCCUUCGGGUUGUAAAGCACUUUUGUCCGGAAAGAAAUCCUUGGCCCUAAUACGGUCGGGGGAUGACGGUACCGGAAGAAUAAGCACCGGCUAACUACGUG
rnacentral:rRNA from 1 species